GAUGAAGAACGUAGUGAAAUGCGAUAAGUAAUGUGAAUUGCAGAAUUCAGUGAAUCAUCGAGUCUUUGAACGCACAUUGCGCCCCCUGGUAUUCCGGGGGGCAUGCCUGUCCGAGCGUCAUUGCUGCCCUCAAGCACGGCUUGUGUGUUGGGCCUCCGUCCUCCUCCCGGGGGACGGGCCCGAAAGGCAGCGGCGGCACCGCGUCCGGUCCUCGAGCGUAUGGGGCUUCGUCACCCGCUCUUGUAGGCCCGGCCGGCGCUUGCCGACACAUCAAUCUUUUUUCCAGGUUGACCUCGGAUCAGGUAGGGAUACCCGCUGAACUUAAGCAUAUCAAAAGCGGAGGA
rnacentral:misc_RNA from 1 species